rnacentral:rRNA from 1 species
ACUCCUACGGGAGGCAGCAGUGGGAAUAUUGGACAAUGGGCGAAAGCCUGAUCCAGCAAUACCGCGUGAGUGAUGAAGGCCUUAGGGUUGUAAAGCUCUUUUAGUAGGGAAGAUAAUGACGGUACCUGCAGAAAAGCACCGGCUAACUACGUGCCAGCAGCCGCGGUAAUACGUAGGGUGCAAGCGUUGUCCGGAAUUAUUGGGCGUAAAGAGCUCGUAGGCGGUUUGUCACGUCUGCUGUGAAAAUCCAAGGCUCAACCUUGGACUUGCAGUGGGUACGGGCAGGCUAGAGUGCGGUAGGGGAGAUGGGAAUUCCUGGUGUAGCGGUGGAAUGCGCAGAUAUCAGGAGGAACACCAAUGGCGAAGGCACAUCUCUGGGCCGUAACUGACGCUGAGGAGCGAAAGCGUGGGGAGCGAACAGGAUUAGAUACCCUGGUAGGUC